rnacentral:rRNA from 1 species
CCUACGAGGUGGCUGCAGUAGGGAAUAUUGCUCAAUGGGGGACACCCUGAAGCAGCAACGCCGCGUGGAGGAUGAAGGUUUUCGGAUUGUAAACUCCUUUUGUUAGAGAAGAUAAUGACGGUAUCUAACGAAUAAGCACCGGCUAACUCCGUGCCAGCAGCCGCGGUAAUACGGAGGGUGCAAGCGUUACUCGGAAUCACUGGGCGUAAAGAGCGCGUAGGCGGGAUAGCAAGUCAGAUGGGAAAUCCUAUGGCUUAACCAUAGAACUGCAUUUGAACCUGUUAUUCUAGAGUAUGGGAGAGGUAGGUGGAAUUCUUGGUGUAGGGGUAAAAUCCGUAGAGAUCAGGAGGAAUACUCAUUGCGAAGGCGACCUGCUAGAACAUAACUGACGCUGAUGCGCGAAAGCGUGGGGAGCAAACAGGAUUAGAUACCCGGGUAGUC